rnacentral:rRNA from 1 species
GGGUGCGAGCGUUAUCGAAUUACUGAGCGUAAAGCGUGCGCAGGCGGUUCGGAAGAAAAGAUGUGAAAUCCCAGAGCUCAACCUUGAACUGCAUUUUUAACUCCCGGACUAGAGUAUGUCAGAGGGAGGUGGAACUCCACGUGUAGCAGUGAAAUGCGUAGAUAUGUGGAGGAACACCGAUGGCGAAGGCAGCCCCCUGGGAUAAUACUGACGCUCAUGCACGAAAGCGUGAGGAGCAAACAGGAUUAGAUACCCUGGUAGUCCACGCCCUAAACGAUGUCAACUAGCUGUCGGGACCUUCGGGUUUUGGUAGCGCAGCUAACGCGUGAAGUUGACCGCCUGGGGAGUACGGUCGCAAGAUUAAAACUCAAAGGAAUUGACGGGGACCCGCACAAGCGGUGGAUGAUGUGGAUUAAUUCGAUGCAACGCGAAAAACCUUACCUACCCUUGACAUGUCUGGAAUCCCGAAGAGAUUUGGGAGUGCUCGAAAGAGAACCGGAACACAGGUGCUGCAUGGCCGUCGUCAGCUCGUGUCGUGAGAUGUUGGGUUAAGUCCCGCAACGAGCGCAACCCUUGUCAUUAGUUGCUACGAAAGGGCACUCUAAUGAGACUGCCGGUGACAAACCGGAGGAAGGUGGGGAUGACGUCAGGUCCUCAUGGCCCUUAUGGGUAGGGCUUCACACGUCAUACAAUGGUCGGGACAGAGGGCAGCCAACCCGCGAGGGGGAGCCAAUCCCAGAAACCCGAUCGUAGUCCGGAUUGCAGUCUGCAACUCGACUGCAUGAAGUCGGAAUCGCUAGUAAUCGCGGAUCAGCAUGUCGCGGUGAAUACGUUCCCGGGUCUUGUACACACCGCCCGUCACACCAUGGGAGUGGGUUCUACCAGAA